CCCGCCCCCUCCUUGCCCGUAGCCCUUGACUCCUCCAGCCAUCCCACGACUGCCAUGGACUCUGUGCGGCAUUUCUCCAGAUCGGAAGCUAGUCUGGAAGCCAGUCUGAAAGGCAGUGAAGGCGACUCCUUCGACGGCUCUGUUGUGCUCGGUCGUGGCUUGUCGUUGGCUUUCCUCUUGGACCGCCAGUUGGUAGAUCCGGCCGAGCGAAGGUAAUGGGUCCAUCGCCAAGAUUUGUGAUCGAAAGGCGUUGCUUUAGGUCCCUCGAGACGUUCCUCGGCCGCCUUGAGCUCAUUCCAGAGAGUCGAGAGUCGAUUGAAGCAGGUAGUGACUGAUUGAUUUCCUUUUCUCAGUUCUGAAAUGGCCUAAGUGAUAGUAAAGAGCUUCGCCGGAUCAAGAUGCCCAUACAUCUCUCGAAUGUUCGCCCAAAAGGUCUUCGAGUCCUCAGUUGGCGGUAGCCUAGUUGCAACUUUCGGAGCGAGACAAUUUCCAAUCCAGGUAUGCACUAAUUGGUUGCAUUUUCUCCAAAAUCGUUGCAAUCGUUCGUCAGUCGGAUAGGGGACGGUGCUAUCAAGGAAACCGUCCUUGUCCUUUGUUACAAGCGCUUGCCGGAGGUCUCGAGCCCAAGCAUUGUAAUUGUCCUGUUUGGUGAGCUGCAAGUUGAUGAGUCAGAGCUCCGGUUUGUCGGCCGUCAACGUGUGAAGAGGAUCUCCAGGCUUGGGAUGGCCGCCGUUGAAAGGGGUACCGGCCGAGAUGAGGCCAUUGAGUCGGUCCCUGUAUUGGUCCUUGUAUUGAUGGAACUGUAACAAAUGGUUGAGCAGGCAUCGAUGAAGUCGUAACUGAUGAUUGAGCAGGUAUCGCGCCUUCUUCUGUUGGGUCGACUAGUGCUGGAUUCGAGUUUUGAUGGGGGUUGAGAUCACAACAACAGACGAGAAAAGAACCGAAAGGCAAUUUGAAGAUGCGGAAGCUUAGGCUAGAAUAGAGUGCUCUGAUACCAUGACAGAAUAUGAAAAGAAGUGGAGAGGAAAACUGGAGCUUUGUAUUUCAGUAUGUUUCUUGUACACAUUCAUUACAGUAAGGGUAAAGUGUAAAACAAGAAAGAAAUAUACAUCGAUUCUAAUUCUUAUUUUACCAAGUCAAUUACCGAUUGAAUGAAACAAUCAUUGAUACUU